rnacentral:rRNA from 1 species
UACGUAGGGUGCAAGCGUUGUCCGGAUUUAUUGGGCGUAAAGAGCUCGUAGGCGGUUUGUCGCGUCGGAUGUGAAAACCCAGGGCUCAACCCUGGGCCUGCAGUGGGUACGGGCAAACUAGAGUGCGGUAGGGGAGAUUGGAAUUCCUGGUGUAGCGGUGGAAUGCGCAGAUAUCAGGAGGAACACCGAUGGCGAAGGCAGAUCUCUGGGCCGUAACUGACGCUGAGGAGCGAAAGCAUGGGGAGCGAACAGG